rnacentral:rRNA from 1 species
AUUGAACGCUGGCGGAAUGCUUUACACAUGCAAGUCGAACGGUAGAGGGGGCAACCCCUCGAGAGUGGCGGACGGGUGAGUAAUAUAUCGGAACGUGCCCAGUCGUGGGGGAUAACGUAGCGAAAGUUGCGCUAAUACCGCAUACGAUCUAAGGAUGAAAGCGGGGGAUCGCAAGACCUCGCGCGAUUGGAGCGGCCGAUAUCAGAUUAGGUAGUUGGUGGGGUAAAGGCUCACCAAGCCAACGAUCUGUAGCUGGUCUGAGAGGACGACCAGCCACACUGGAACUGAGACACGGUCCAGACUCCUACGGGAGGCAGCAGUGGGGAAUUUUGGACAAUGGACGCAAGUCUGAUCCAGCCAUUCCGCGUGCAGGAUGAAGGCCCUCGGGUUGUAAACUGCUUUUGUACGGAACGAAAAGGUCUCUCUUAAUACGGGGGACUCAUGACGGUACCGUAAGAAUAAGCACCGGCUAACUACGUGCCAGCCGCCGCCGUAA